AUUGCUUUCGUCAAGCCUUGCAAACACCGGAGAGCGAUGAAACACAUUGAUAUCAUUGUGAGACCGACUAUGUCGAAGAAAGAGUGCCCCCGAUUCGACCGUACACUAAUCAUACACGCAAACGUGUACAGUCAAGAUCAAGGACUCACGGGAAGAUAUCACAACACAACUCUAAACAAAAAAGAAAGACAUACAAGCUUCAUAUUACAAGCCAGGGGCCUCGAGGGCUCGAAUACAAAAGCUCGAUACACAAGCGAGUCAACGGAAGCAACAAUAUCUGACUACAGACAUAAGUUAAACAAGUUUUGCCUUAAAAAGGCUAGCACAAACAUCAACGAUCGAAGAGGCGAGGCCUCCUGCCUGGGACCUCCUAACUACUCCUGGUCGUCGGCGGUCUUCACGUAGCAGCAUCCAUCGGCGAUGGCAUCUGGCUCCAGGGAUCCACCAUCUGGUUGCAUCAACCGGAAAGAAGAAAGAAGGGGGAAAAGGGGAAGCAAAGCAACCGUGAGUACUCAUCCAAAGUACUCGCAAGCAUCAGAUCUAUACUAAGUAUGCACUGGUAUCAAAUGGAAGGUUUGUAUAUGUGGACUGAACUGCAGAAUGCCAGAAUAGAGGGGGAAGGCCUAGCCUAUUGAAGACUAGCAUCUUCAAGCAGCUCCGAGCAUUUUGCAACAUAUAGAAGAGUAAAGAAUAGCAGUUUAUAUUUAACAAGCAUGUUGUAACAUUAAUGCCCAGAGAUCCUUCCUCGACUCCCUGCGAGAAAGCAAUCCCGGAGCCACAUAUCUCAAGUAUCCAUUUUUGUUGUAUAAGAUCAGGAUAUAAGUCUGAACGUCCAUUACCGUGGACACGGUAUUCGAAUAUAUAACUUCCCUGUAGGGGUGCACCACGUUACCCAACACGCUCGAUCACUCUGGUCGGACACACCUUUCUGGGGUCAAUGCCCGCCCUCGGAAGAUCAACACGUCGUAGCCCGACCUAGGCUCAGCAGAGAGGUCCCCGUCGGUCUACAUCCUAAGCACUCCGGGGUCUUGGGCCCAUCGCCCGCAGCACUCCGGGUCGUUGCGUGCAGGGUGAAUACCAGCACCGCCUCGGAUGGCCAGCACGAUCCGACCGUGCCGCACUGCUGAACUGGACGUCUGGCAAAGCUUCGGCUGAUACUGCACCGUCGAGGCCCAUAUCUAUUUUCGCGUGGUGGUUAGUGCGUAAAGGCAAGAGGCCAACUCAGAGCAAAUACCCAAACCAUAGUGUAUUAUUAGCUUGCGGAGAUGAGCAGAGACUCACGAUCGAAGGUGACCCCGUCGCCCCGUCUCGUGGACUUACGACAAGGGCCUAGAAUGCCCGAUCGUGCCACGUAACCAUCUUGCGGGUGCUCUCCGGGCCCGCCCGACUUUCACCAAGGUAUCAAGUAAAGUCAAGGUAACCGUGUGUCCAAACAUCAAGGGGAAAACCCGAGGAAUCACCCACGGAGGAUUCCACUCAAUGUAAUCAUCAAGGUGAACGUAAGAGGGACCACCCUCGAGGUUCACACUUGAGGUGUUGAACGACAGAGCCGUAUCGAGAUUGGUGAAGGAGGAAAUCGCCCUUGAUGACCACGACCGAAUAGCUACACUACAGAAUUAUCAUCAGGAGUGCAUUAUGAGGGAUCACCCUCGGCACUCGAUAGUAGCUCUGCAGAGUCGAGCAACUAAAAGGGCGUGAUGUGAUGUGAGGUGUCGGGCUCUGGUCAUCGAUCACGUCGAUCGAGGCGUCGAUGAUGAAGCAGGGGCAACAAGGACAAGUGGGGGUCACUGACGGAUCACUAGCCAACCUAUACUAAGCAGUUUAGGAUAACCAGGUAGGUAACAAUAAGCAGGCUAUGCAUCAGAAUAGGAGAAAACAAUAACAAUAGCAAAAUCUAAUGCAAGCAUGAGAUAAUAGAAUGGGCGAUAUCGGGAUAAUCAAAGGGGGGGCUUGCCCGGUUGCUCAAACAAGAAGGAGGGUCGUCGUCGACGUAUUCGAUCUCAGGGGCAUCAGCAGCGGUCUCGAGGUCUACCGGAGAAGAAGAGGGGGAAGAAAUAGUAAAUACAUGCAAACAUAAGCAUAACAAGGCAAUAAACAGGGCUAGAGGUGUUCGAACGCGGUGCUACGAUACUAACGAAGGGGGGAAACAUCCGGGAAAGUUUUCCCGGUUCCGGACGUCUGUCAGACAGAUGAACCGGAGGGGAAAAGUUCAACAUUUGCUAUGCUAGGGACGUGUGGCGGAUGAAUGGGCCGUGUAUUCGGAUUCGUCUCGUUGUUCUGAGCAACUUGCAUGUAGAAAACUUUUUCAUCCAAGCUACGGUUUAAUUUCUAUCAAUUUUCAAAGUUUUAUAUCUAAAAUUAAUUUUAAUACGAAAAUAAAUGCUAAAAUGCUAGGCGCACCCAGCACAGUGUACACAAGAGUGUACCUAGUGGCUGAAAGGUGGGCCAGGGGGACCCAGUUGACCAGUCAACAUUUGACUGGUUAAUAGGGGUGGGACCCCCUGUCAUGCACUCAUUCAGCUAAUUACGAAUUAGUUAGACUAACUAAGUAAUUAGUUUAAUUAAACCAUUUUAAUUAAGUUAAUUAAUUAACUAACUAACUAAUUAUAUAUAUAUAUAUAUAUAUAUAUAUAUAUAUAUUACUCUUUUUUUGAAAGAGGGGCGUGGAGCCCGUGUGUAAGUGGCCCAGGGGCCCUUGGCCGGGUUAGCGGCUAAAUGGGGCGGAGCCCCGGGUAUGCGGGCACUGCCCACCCGAGCGAUGGGUGGGGUCGGGCGGGCGCCGGCCGGAACAGGGCUGCGGGCCGGAGGGGAGGUGGCUGGCGGCAGCAGCGCCAGGGGAGACGGCGUGGGCGGCACAGCGGCCGGGGGAGGCGCUGCGGACGCGCGAGCAUGGCCCAGGGGCGACAAGGCGCGGGUGACGCGCGAGGUUCAGAGGCCUGGGUCGAGACGGCCAUAGCGCCACAGAGGCGCGGCGUGGGACCGCCAAAACUACGGUGGAUUGAGGGGGCGAGCAAAGGGAAUGGGAAGGGGAGCUCACUGCGAUGUUGAAGGCGAGCUCGAGGAAGACAGGGAGCUCGGGACGGCGCGGAUCGAACGGCGGUGUUCUUCGGUGCGUGAGGUUGAAGAUGAAGGCGAGGAGCCUGAUGCAGGGGCGUCUAUGUCCAACGAGUGGCCGCAAGCGACGAACAGGACGACGACGAAGCUCCAGGACCUCCUAGCGGGGCUCGGGAAGGAGGGUGGCCGUGGCUAUGCCAAAGCCAUGGCGACGACUGUGGCGAUUUGGCGCGGGGAAAGAAAAGCGAGCGGGGGGGAUUGGGGAUGAGUGGGGACUAGGGUUUCCAAGGGGAGACAGGAGUUGGCCUUAUCCUCGUCGGGGCAACGCGAGAUGGGCGACGCGUGGAGAUCGGAGACGUGUGCGGGCGUGCGUGCUCCACCGUGACGUGGGUGAACAGGAGGUUGUGGAUGAUCUUAGGCGGGCUGGCCGGCCUGGCUGGGGUGGCUAGUUGGCUGGGCUAAGGCCCGGCGAGGGGGGGGGGGGCUCCUGUUCUUUUUAUAUUUUCUAUUUAUUUUUCUCUUCCUGCAAAUUGCUAGGCCACAUAAAGACUUUUGUAAAAUAUGGAAUUGUGCCACAUAAUUACCUGACAAUAUUUAGAGCGGCCAUAAAGAGGUUUGGUGAAAUGAUAAAACACUUUGAAUAAUUUUAUUAUUUAAAAGGCAUUUAAUUAAUUGUUUUAGCUACUGUUUUAUUCAUUUUGGAACACUUAAACCUUUUAUUAAAAAGUGGGUUCUUCACCAAUAAUACUUAUGUCAUAUUUGCCACAUUUUGCACAUUUUAUUUUGCAUGUUUGAGAAAUUAGAAUUUUGGAUCUUAAUUUGAAUUAGGCCUUGGAUCAACAAGAGGAUUAGCAACAGUAAUGUGAUGACCUGGCAUCAUUAGUAGGGGAUUACUGUAGUUUAAGUAUCCGGGCGUCACAAUUCUCCCCCACUACAAGAAAUCUCGUCCCGAGAUUUAAGGGUUGGAAUAAGGGGGGAAGACUCGGGAAGGACGGAGCUCAACACAAAAUAAAUACCUCAACAUGGCAUAGAGGCAUCUCUCGAGUUGAAAUUCAAGAAAAUCAUCGAGAGGAAGGUAAGAAGAUGCAAUAAGAAGCUUCAACAAGGUAGGCAAUCGUUUGUUGCCUGAAAUAGAGAGUGAAUGGGGUCCAGAGCAAUGGGAAUAUUGCGUCCGAUACCAGAAUAGAUCACUAGGAAUGUGGCUCGUGGAUUACAUACGAAGCCAAGCGCGAGGAAUAACUUAGAAAGCAGGGAUGUAUAGGAGAGUCAGGUUUCGAUCCUGUGGAACUGUGGGUUAUGGGCCCACCAUGUGGGCUAAAAACAGGAAGGGUGCUAACAUUUUGUACGGUCAUGAUAGUAAGGCAGGUUAGAGGAUAGUCUGUCAGUUAUGUUGGCAACAAUGCUGGUACCAAGGGCAAGGGACAAAGAGAACCAUUUUCCUGCUCGUUAAGACGAGGCGGACCAAUAGGCAAAUUUCUCGUCCAUCGGCGGCUACCAGAAUGUCAUCAACAAUAGUAACAAGGUCUUACUGACAGAGAAUGUACACCGAGGUAUUUACAUAAGCAGAGAAUUAUCACUGCUUAGGUAUGAUAGGUUACAAGAAAGGUUGAACAAAACAAUGAAAAGGAAAGUGUAGACUCGAAUCAGUUAUCGGUGUUCUCGAGUGUCUAAAUACUCAGAACCCGUGGAAAACUGGAAUCAGCGAGAAAUAAUAGUUGAUCAAGAACUCAUAAGAAGUUAUGUAGUUCCAUGAUAUUCUCGAGAUACCAGAGGGUAAUACUCAAGGGUAUAGCAGAAUAGAGGUUGGACGGGUGAAAUGAUCUACAGAAGACAAGUACUUCCACUUGUCCGAGAAAUGAAAUCAAAGAAGAACAAUCAUGGUUGGAACCACGGUUGUGAAGGUGCAAGCAUAGAUACGAGACAAACUUAUCACAAGAGGAUUAUUAUUAUAACAAGAAGCUUCCAUGAUAAGUUCCACAUCGGGUCCAUGGGCAUGAACACAAAUGUUCAAUGUCGACUCCCACUUCUCUAAUGCACAAAUUUCCAUUCACUUCUCACCUUCUAAGAAGUUGUAGCGUUGAAAUUUUACCUGGCGAAAGCCAAUAGAGUAUAACCCGCAUAACUUUUGAGUUCACCCGGAUUUAGCGAAGACAUAGAUUCAACCCAUCGGGGCAUCUUAGAAACAAAUUCCACAAACUUUAGGAAUAAAUAACUCAAGCCCGGAAGCAGAGCAUGGUAGAGGAAGCAGAAGAUACAAUUUACCAAAGGCAUUAUGUAUCCGAGGAAAAGCUCACAAGGUUACUGUAUAUGAAGGACGUUGUCGGAUAGAACCCCACAAAGGAUCUGGUGGUUCACAAGGGAUCUGAUGUGAGCAUCAAUACUCAACCAGAAGUAGAAAGAAUGCAAGGAUAUCAGAUUAUAGAAGCAACUGACUAAUUCAGAGUUGAAAUGCAAAAGGAAUUAUGAUUUCCAAAAUCAAGGGAUCAAAAGCAAACGCUCUGACCAAGGAUGGUUAAGUUGAAUAGACUUAGGGCACAAUCGAUGGCAAUCUGAUUGGCCGAGAACCAGCUCAUGUUCGGGAAGACGUCUGAGCCGGAAAGAUAAUCUAUAAGGAUCAACUGAUGAUUGCGACAUAGACAUAUCAAAUCGAAAGACUCAAGAUGAUAAUGACAAAGGACGUCAAUGGAUACUGCUAGGCAUAUGGAAUUAAUCAGAGUGUAGGCAGGUAAGACUUCCUAGAGCAAUAGGCGACAGAGGUCAUCGAAAGCUCGGGAUUGUAUUACCAAGUAUCUUACGAAGCAUAAGAAUAACUAGGGCGAAUGGAUACUCGAUAAGAGCGAUUAAUUAACCGAAGGGGUAUUCAUGCGGCAAGGACUGCAGGGCAGUAAGCAUAAAGGAUCCUCGCAACAUCGAAGAGUAUUUCAGGACAUCUUGUAAUAACAAAAGCAACUGGGGAUGAAGGUAUGAACGACAACAUAGGUAGUUACGCAUAAGGAUUUAUCGGUGGUAGAGAUCGCAAUGUGAAGGGUACAAGGGACUCGGUAAAACAUCAGAGAGUGUCUUCAGAAUCUUUUGAUGCACCAAGUAAUCAUCGGCUCUCCGGGAGAAACUAUUUACGAGAACCUAAAGUUAGAGUUAGCAAAAUCAUUUAAUCCGAAUUGAAGAGAGACCAGAAUCCCAGAGUAUAGACGAGGAGUAAAAGAUCCUAAUACCACCCAAAUGGCGAUGUGGGCCCGUAAGCCACACAGCCAUGUUAGUAAAACAGUUUUUCAAAGACUAGACUCAACUUCGGCCAAGGUGUUGGAAAGGGGGAUCCUACAGGCAGUCGGCUCUGAUACCAACUUGUGACGCCCCUGAUUCGACUGUACACUAAUCAUACACGCAAACGUGUACAAUCAAGAUCAAGGACUCACGGGAAGAUAUCACAACACAACUCUAAACACAAAAGAAAGACAUACAAGCUUCAUAUUACAAGCCAGGGGCCUCAAGGGCUUGAAUACAAAAGCUCGAUACACAAGCGAGUCAGCGAAAGCAACAAUAUCUGAGUACAGACAUGAGUUAAACAAGUUUAGCCUUAAGAAGGCUAGCACAAACAUCAACGAUCGAAGAGGCAAGGCCUCCUACCUGGGACCUCCUAACUACUCCUGGUCGUCGGCGGUCUUCACGUAGCAGCAUCCAUCGGAGAUGGCAUCUAGCUCCAGGGAUCCACCAUCUGGUUGCAUCAACCGGGAAGAAGAAAGAAGGAGGAAAAGGGGAAGCAAAGCAACCGUGAGUACUCAUCCAAAGUACUCGCAAGCAUCAGAUCUAUACUAAGUAUGCACUGGUAUCAAAUGGAAGGUUUGUAUAUGUGGACUGAACUGCAGAAUGCCAGAAUAGAGGGGAAGGCCUUACCUAUUGAAGACUAGCAUCUUCAAGCAGCUCCGAGCAUCUUGCAGCAUAUAGAAGAGUAAAGAAUAGCAGUUUGUAUUUAACAAGCAUGUUGUAACAUUAAUGCCUAGAGAUCCUUCCUCGACUCCCUGCGAGAAAUCAAUCCCGGAGCCACAUAUCUCAAGUAUCCAUUUUUGUUGUAUAAGAUCAGGAUAUAAGUCUGAACAUCCAUUACCGUGGACACGGUAUUCAAAUAUAUAAAUUUCCUGCAGGGGUGCACCACGUUACCCAACACGCUCGAUCACUCUGGCUGGACACACCUUUCUGGGGUCAAUGCCCGCCCUCGGAAGAUCAACAUGUCGUAGCCAGACCUAGGCUCAGCAGAGAGGUCCCCGCCGGUCUACAUCCUAAGCACUCCGGGGUCUUGGGCCCAUCGCCCGCAGCACUCCGGGUCGUUGCAGGGUGAAUACCAGCACCGCCUCGGAUGGCCAGCACGAUACGACCGUGCCGCACUACUGAACUGGACGUCUGACAAAGCUUCGGCUAAUACUGCGACGUCGAGGCCCAUAUCUAUUCUCGCGUGGUGGUUAGUGCGUAAAGGCCAGAGGUCAACUCAGAACAAAUACCCAAACCAUAGUGUAUUAUUAGCUUGCGGAGACGAGCAGAAACUCACGGUCGAAAGUGACCCCGUCGCCCCGUCUCGUGGACUUACGACAAGGGCCUAAAAUGCCCGGCCGUGCCACGUAACCAUCUUGCGGGUGCUCUCUGGGCCCGCCCGACUUUCACCAAGGUCUCAAGGAAAGUCAAGGUAACCGUGUGUCCAAACAUCAAGGGGAAAACCCGAGGAAUCACCCACGGAGGAUUCCACUCAAUGUGAUCAUCAAGGUGAACGUAAGAGGGACCACCCUCGAGGUUCACACUUGAGGUGUUGAAUGACAGAGCCAUAUCGAGAAUGGUGAAGGAGGAAAUCGCCCUCGAUGACCACGACCGAAUAGCUACACUACAGAAUUAUCAUCAGGAGUGCAUUAUGAGGGAUCACCCUCGGCACUCGAUAGUAGCUCUGCAGAGUCGAGCAACUAAAGGGGCGUGAUGUGAUGUGAGGUGUCGGGCUCUGGUCGUCGAUCACGUCGAUCGAGGCGUCGAUGAUGAAGCAAGGGCAACAAGGACAAGUGGGGGUCACUGACGGAUCACUAGCCAACCUAUACUAAGCAGUUUAGGAUAACCAGGUAGGUAACAAUAAGCAGGUAUAAAAGCAGGCUAGGAGUAAACAAUAACAAUAGCAAAAUCUAAUGCAAGCAUGAGAUAAUAGAAUGGGCGAUAUCGGGAUGAUCAAAGGGGGGGGGGGGCUUUCCCGGUUGCUCAAACAAGAAGGAGGGUCGUCGUCGACGUAUUCGAUCUCAGGGGCAUCAGCAGCGGUCUCGAGGUCUACCGGAGAACAAGAGGGGGAAGAAACAGUAAAUACAUGCAAACAUAAGCAUAACAAUGCAAUAAACAGGGCUAGAGGUGUCCGAACGCGGUGCUACGAUACUAACGACGGGGGGAAACAUCCGGGAAAGUUUUCCCGGUUCCGGACGUCUGUCAGACAGAUGAACCGGAGGGAAAAAGUUCAACAUUUGCUAUGCUAGGGACGUGUGGCGGAUGAAUGGACCGCGUGUUUAGAUUCGUCUCGUCGUUCUGAGCAACUUUCAUGUAGAAAACUUUUUCAUCCGAGCUACGGUUUAAUUUCUAUUAAUUUUCAAAGUUUUAUUAAUUAUCUGAAAUUAAUUUUAAUACGAAAAUAAAUGCUAAAAUGCUAGGGGCACCCAGCACAGUGUACACAAGAGUGUACCAGUGGCUGACAGGUGGGCCAGGGGGACCCAGUUGACCAGUCAACAUUUGACUGGUCAACAGGGGUGGGACCCCCUGUCAUGCACUCAUUCAGCUAAUUACGAAUUAGUUAGACUAACUAAGUAAUUAGUUUAAUUAAACCAUUUUAAUUAAGUUAAUUAAUUAACUAACUAAUUAAUAUAUAUAUAUAUAUAUAUAUAUUACUCUUUUUUUUGAAAGAGGGGCGUGGAGCCCGUGUGUAAGUGGCCCAGGGGCCCUUGGCCGGGUUAGCGGCUAAACGGGGCGGAGCCCCGGGUAUGCGGGCGCUGCCCACCCGAGCGAUGGGUGGGGGAAGCCGGGAACGGGCGCCGGCGGCGAGGGGUCGCGCGGGCACCGGUCAGAACAGGGCUGCGGGCCGGAGGGGAGGUGGCCGGCGGCAGCAGCGCCAGGGGAGACGGCGUGGGCGGCACAACGGCAGGGGGAGGCGCUGCGGACGCGCGAGCGUGGCCCAGGGGCGACAAGGCGCGGGCGACGCGCGAGGUUCAGAGGCCUGGGUCGAGACGGCUAUAGCGCCGUAGAGGCGCGGCGUGAGACCGCCAAAACUACGGUGGAUUGAGGGGGCGAGCAAAGGGAAUGGGAAGGGGAGCUCACUGCGAUGUUGAAGGCAAGCUCGAGGAAGACAGGGAGCUCGGGACGGCGCGGAUCGAAUGGCGGUGUUCUUCGGUGCGUGAGGUUGAAGAUGAAGGCGAGGAGCCUGAUGCAGGGGCGUCUAGGUCCAACGAGUGGCCGCAAGCGACGAACAGGACGACGACGAAGCUCCAGGACCUCCUAGCGGGGCUCGGGGAGGAGGGUGGCCGCGGCUAUGCCAAAGCCACGGCGACGACUGUGGCGAUUUGGCGCGGGGAAAGAAAAGCGAGCGGGGGGGAUUGGGGAUGAGGGGG
rnacentral:lncRNA from 1 species